CUUAUAGAUUCAGAUCUGCUUUACAAGCAGCCUUUCUGGCUGGAAAUUUUAGCUUCUACCAGGGGCCGCUUAUUUACAUUGCAUAUAAAUCUAAGCUACUUGCCCAAGGCCCUGGCUCAGCAGAAUGUUAGACUCUGUUAAACCUUUUGGAGGCAUUCCUGAGAUUAAAUACAAUUUAUCUAUAUCCAUUUCCUCAUGGGAUACUUGACCCACUUUAUGAAGCUAUCUAUCCCAGUAACUCAGUCCUGUCCAAUCAUGUUUAAUGUACUUAGAGCCAAGUUAUGAAAUAUUCUCUCCCUGAUGCCCUUGAAGUACCUUUUUAUUCAGACUUAACUGUUUCUCUAAAAUGUAUAUCCCAGGACAGAAAAUAUAUAUUGAGAUUAUCAGAUCUGAGUCAAAUCUGACUACAAUGGCAAUUCAUUGCCAUUCAUUCACUUGUUUAUCAAAUGUAUUAUUGGACAACUAUUGGCAGCUGCUUCACUCCAGGCACUCUUCUACUAGACACUGAGGAUACAAAGAUGAAAGAUAUGAUUUCAAAUUGUGCACAGCCCCAUGGUUGAAAACCAGACCUGUGUUCUCACCCUGACCCUACCUCUUAUGAACUGUAUAAACACAGACAAAGCCUUUUUAAGCUUCAUUUUCCACACCUAUAAAGUGGGACUAACAGUCCUACUCUACAAGGUUGGCGUGACAAUUACUGACAUAAAAUAUAGGACUGGAACAUAGAAAGCUCUUGGUAGAUGGCACCUAGAAUUUCAUCAUCAUCAUCCUGGGAAUGGCCAAUUGUGAUUAUAAAUUAACAUGCACCCCUAUGUUCACUGUGGCACUAUUCACAAUAGCCAAAACAUGGAAGCAACAUAAAGGUCCAUCAACAGAUGAAUGGAUCAAAAAGAUGUGGUACAUAUGUACAAUGGAAUACAACUCAGCCAUGGAAAAGAACAAAAAUAAGGCCAUUUGCAGCAACCUGGAAGCAACUAAGUCUCAUACUAAGUGAAGUAAGUCAUACAGAGAUAGAUAUAUACCAUAUGCUAUGACUUAUACGUGGAAUCUAAAAUAUGGCACAGAUGAUCCUAUCUACAAAACAGAAACGGUUCACAAACAUAGAGAACAGACUUGUGGUUGCCAAGGGGGAGAGGGAGAGGAAGAAAAUAAAUAAGAAUUUCUGGAUAAUGAAAAGAACAAUGUCUCAGAGCCAUGAGCGGCCAUGAUAGGAAAGCAUAGAUGAAGCAAUUAGUCUUGGACAAAAUUAGCACUAAUUCUUCUUAAGCAGGAAAGAGAUGGUGAAAAUAUAGAUUAUGUUUUGAGGAGAGGGAAAACCAGUAAAUUCAUAUCAGAUAGAAUUUCUGCUAAGAGAGCUUGCGGGAGUGGUUAGGCCUUGAGUAGAAAAAGCUGCAUCUUCCUGGAAGGGAAUGAGGAGUCCUCUCCUAGCAAAUUGCACUGAAGCCACUUAGUGUGAUGACCAAAGGUGUCCUAUAUUCAAAGCCAUAGGCUGAGAGCUCAGUCUCCUUCUGUCACAGCUUUCACCAAGUUGAAAAGGCUAUUGAAGAGACACUUACAGAACCACAGAAGACAAGAUGAGAUCAAGUAGCACUUGCACAGCUUAUGUUUUUAUGGAGCUCAGAGAAGGGGCAGAUCAGAGGAGCUGCAAUGAGGCUGGGCUUGAAAAUCAGGAGAAUUUGAGGUGGAGAGGAAAAGACAUAGUAUUUGAUAUCUAAGAGGAACAGAAGAAUCAAGAGAGGCAGGUCUUAGAAGGAGCUCUUGCUAAAAGUGCAGGAGCUGGGUGAAGGGAGAGCAGUGGCAUUCAGGCCAAAAGACAACCCCAUCCCAUGACUUACACCUGAUUUGGGUCCCCUUAGGUCCUCAUGUCUCUUAUCAGUCUCCUUGCUUAUUUCUCAUCCCUGUUGCACUUUUUUUCCCAUAGCAAUCAUCACUUCCCAAUCUACCAUAUUUAAAAUUUUAAUCAUAUUUCUGUUUACUAGGAUGUAGGCUCUGUGAGGGCAGGAUAAUUGUUUGGUUCAUUGAUGUAUCUCCAGAGCCCAGAUCAAGUCUGGUGUAUAGAAGGUGCUCCUUAAAGAUUUGCACCAGUAGUUUCCAGGAUAACCUGGGGUGCUUCCAGUGUAGGAUCAGGGAUCCCUGGGCUCAAAGCCAACUCUGAAGGAAAGCUUGCCAGCCUGCUUUUCAAAUGGGCCGUCUUUAACACCAGAAGAAACACAAACCCUCAAAAGUGAAAGGCAGAAACUGCCAGGAAACCGGGGCCUGAGGAAAACAUCUUCCCUGAGGAGAUGAGAGAAGGUGUUUAAGGACUGAUGGAUUUUAGGCUAAAUGAUCCAGAAUGGUUUAAGUAUGAGGUGGACUUGAUGACUCUGGGAGGCCCCACCAGCUCUUCCAGACCUCGGGUUUUAUUCAUCUCUUCCCUCAGCUCUGCCUGGGGGCUGGGCCAGCCCUGGUGGAAGGAACAGUUUAUUCCACAGUCCUCCUCUGGGUAAGGAGCCUUUCCUCAGAUCCUGGUCCAGGUUACAAGGGCUCCUUGUAUCCUUGCCAGUUUUUUUAGCCUAUCCAAUAGGAAAAACAUGAUUUUUUUUUCCCUACAUACAUUUAUGUUUAAAAUUGGCUUCAAACAAGGAGACAAAACACACAUUGUUCAGAGGCCAGGAAUUGCAAAUCUGAGCACUCACUGCCCAGCAAUAACAGGGUUGAUCCAUAGUACGUACUCCCGUGCUCAGAAAGCAACCACAGUAUCACGGGUCCUGCACCCCCCCACACACCAGCAAUUCCCUCAAGCAUCAGCAGAGUUUUAUAAAUGAGUCAGCUCCUCUGCAAAGGGGUGACCCAAAUAUCCUGCUCUGUCAAAAGGGCAUGAAAGUCCUCCACAUUCCUGCAUCUGAAGAAGGAAGGAGAUCAAUCCCACCCAUGAAACACCUUGUGUUCCUUAAAAAGAGGCAAUUUGCUUUCAGUGGCAUUGCUGUUCUGAAAGUCAAUUGGCCCCUUGUCAGGAGAGGCCACUGAUCAGACCAGGUGAGCUGGCCGUGUCCUGGGAACUCUGACAUGUGCCUUGAGGCCAGUCAGCUUUCAAUUUUCUCACCCCAGAGAAAGCCAGAAGGUGGUUCUCCCUCCCUAUGAAGUGCCCAGGAAGAAAGACUCACAGUGAGAAAUCUCUAAUUGUCUGCUGGGAAGGGUGGGCAAGCAGGGGAACACGAGGUUACACCCGUCAACCCAGCCUCCUCAGCCAAAAUAGCUGCCAAGGAGCAACAGGCCCCUGCCUUGGGGCAGGUCGUCCAGCUCAGGGGCCCAUUUCUAUUGAGCAGAGAGGCAGGCAGAGCCUGAGCAAAACUCCCCACAGCUGGGAAGCUCUGCCAGCUGGCACCUUCCUGAGCUGUGGUCUCAGUCAGGGGAGGUGCAGCACAGUGCUGGAGGUUGGACUUCGAUACCUGUCUCAGGAUGCCCCCUGGCAAAGGACAGCAUGUGUCACUGUCACCUGACUCUGAUGAAUAGGUUGUGAGUGUCAAACUCCAGUCCAGAGGACUGAUGUGGCAGUUUGGCUGAGGCAGCGUCAGGGAGUGAGUCUGGCUCCAGAAUGGGCUGAGGGCCUUUGUUUCUGAUCUGCUCUACU
rnacentral:lncRNA from 1 species